CAAAGGCCAACACCACAGGCAGCGCUGGGUGUGGAAGCGACCUCCUACUCGAAAUCCUCGGCGAUGAAGUCCGAGUCUUCCUCUGAAGCAACAAAACAAGGGUGAGUACAAAAGUACUCAAUGAGUCCAACCCCAUCCACGGAGGGGAAUACAAUCAAGAAUGUGCACAGGAUAUAUCAAGGAUAAGGCUAAGGUUUAUUUGCAAUAAAGCUAAAUUUAACCUCAUGCAAGGGUUCAUUUUAAAAAGGAUUUUCACAAAACAUUUGUUUUAGUAACCGAAUCAAUAAGUGGGGUUGAUCCUACAUGAAGGAUCCAUAUUUUAAUGGUACUGGACUCCUCAUCCGCAGUAGCUCACGGCACAACUGCCAGACACUUCCAAAAUCCAACACACACCAUGAAAACCAUCCAUCUCC
rnacentral:lncRNA from 1 species